rnacentral:rRNA from 1 species
CCUACGGGGGGCAGCAGUGAGGAAUAUUGGUCAAUGGCCGGGAGGCUGAACCAGCCAAGUCGCGUGAGGGAAGACGGCCCUACGGGUUGUAAACCUCUUUUGUCAGGGAGCAAGGUGCAGGUCGGGACCUGCUGUGAGAGUACCUGACGAAAAAGCAUCGGCUAACUCCGUGCCAGCAGCGGCGGUAAUACGGGGGAUGCGAUGGUAAUCCGGAUUUAUUGGGUUUAAAGGGUGCGCAGGCGGAGGCACAAGUCAGCGGUAAAAUCGCGGGGCUCAACCCCGCUCCGCCGUUGAAACUGUGUGCCUUGAGUGCGCGAAGGGUAGGCAGAAUGCGUGGUGUAGCGGUGAAAUGCAUAGAGAUCACGCAGAACUCCGAUCGCGAAGGCAGCCUACCGGCGCGCAACUGACGCUCAUGCACGAAAGCGUGGGUAUCGAACAGGAUUAGAUACCCCUGUAGUC